rnacentral:rRNA from 1 species
UACGAAGGGGGCUAGCGUUGCUCGGAAUCACUGGGCGUAAAGGGUGCGUAGGCGGGUCUUUAAGUCAGGGGUGAAAUCCUGGAGCUCAACUCCAGAACUGCCUUCGAUACUGAAGAUCUUGAGUUCGGGAGAGGUGAGUGGAACUGCGAGUGUAGAGGUGAAAUUCGUAGAUAUUCGCAAGAACACCAGUGGCGAAGGCGGCUCACUGGCCCGAUACUGACGCUGAGGCACGAAAGCGUGGGGAGCAAACAGG